rnacentral:lncRNA from 1 species
GUCCGGUUGUUCUUCAGGUCAGAUUCCGAGACAGCCACACAGCACGUUGGACACUGAGUUUUGUAGGACAAAAACUUCCGUAUGCAAAGGGAACAAUAGUUAUGGGAGCACUGCGGGAUGAUCACUGCGAUGCUGAAGUAAUCGAAGCAAAUCCCACAGCGCAGCAGAUCGUCCACGGCCUUCAGCGGGGUCAGGCUGGCCGGCCACGGCGGUUCGGGCAGCGCCAGGGCCAUGGCGGCCCGGCCCGGGGCCGUCCCACGCUCGAUCUCCGCGGCGCGGCCCGAGGCGAUCCCGG